UUUGUUACAUCAUGGAACUGAGGAGUUGAGAGUUAUGAGAGCAGCAUCCCACAGAGGGGACAAAUGCAAGGCCAUUAUAGGAAAGGGUAAUAUAAGAUCUACUCACAAAUAAAGAUGAGCAUUUUGGAAAGGAUUUGGGCAUUUUAAAAAGUGAACAAUGCAUCUGGGGUUUGGUGCUGAUCUAAUUAAACUUGUGAGCCUGCAAAGGAUUCAUCCCCACCCAGUGAGAAGCAGCCAGGUUGCAGUUGCUGUGGGAACAGCGCCACCAACCAGGAAAAAAAACUAUGUAAUUAAGACUUCUCUUGGGAUCCCUGCGUGGCGCAGCGGUUUGGCGCCUGCUUUUGGCCCAGGGCGCGAUCCUGAAGACGCGGGAUCGAAUCCCACAUCAGGCUCCCG
rnacentral:lncRNA from 1 species